rnacentral:rRNA from 1 species
AUAGCGAGAAAGAAACUAACAGGAUUCCCCUAGUAACUGCGAGUGAAGCGGGAAAAGCUCAAAUUUAAAAUCUGGCGGUCUCUGGCCGUCCGAGUUGUAAUCUAGAGAAGUAAUGCCCGUGCUGGACCGUGUAUAAGUCUCCUGGGAUGGGGCGUCAUAGAGGGUGAGAAUCCCGUCUUUGACACGGACUACCAGUGCAUUGUGGUAUGCUCUCAAAGAGUCGAGUUGUUUGGGAAUGCAGCUCAAAAUGGGUGGUAAAUUCCAUCUAAAGCUAAAUAUUGGCGAGAGACCGAUAGCGAACAAGUACCGUGAGGGAAAGAUGAAAAGAACUUUGGAAAGAGAGUUAAACAGUACGUGAAAUUGCUGAAAGGGAAACGCUUGAAGUCAGUCGCGUUGGCCAGGGAUCAGCCUUGCUUUUGCAUGGUGUACUUUCUGGUUGACGGGUCAGCAUCAAUUUUGACCGCUGGAAAAAGACCUGGGGAAUGUGGCAGCUUCGGCUGUGUUAUAGCCCCUAGUCGCAUACAGUGGUUGGGAUUGAGGAACUCAGCACGCCGCAAGGCCGGGUUUCGACCACGUUCGUGCUUAGGAUGCUGGCAUAAUGGCUUUAAGCGACCCGUCUUGAAACACGGACCAAGGAGUCUAACAUGCCUGCGAGUAUUUGGGUGGAAAACCCAAGUGCGUAAUGAAAGUGAAAGUUGAGAUCCCUGUCGUGGGGAGCAUCGACGCCCGGACCAGAACUUUUGGGACGGAUCCGCGGUGGAGCAUGUAUGUUGGGACCCGAAAGAUGGUGAACUAUGCCUGAAUAGGGUGAAGCCAGAGGAAACUCUGGUGGAGGCUCGUAGCGAUUCUGACGUGCAAAUCGAUCGUCAAAUUUGGGUAUAGGGGCGAAGACUAAUCGAACCAUCUAGUAGCUGGUCCUGC